AUGUGCCACUCGUACGCUGCGGUUCUGAGCGCGUCGUCCACACCCAUCUGACGACUGCUUGUUACGUGUUGUUAGCC
rnacentral:sRNA from 2 species